rnacentral:rRNA from 1 species
GAUGAACGCUGGCGGCGUGCCUAAUACAUGCAAGUCGAGCGAACAGACGAGGAGCUUGCUCCUUUGACGUUAGCGGCGGACGGGUGAGUAACACGUAGGUAACCUACCUAUAAGACUGGGAUAACUUCGGGAAACCGGAGCUAAUACCGGAUAAUAUUUCGAACCGCAUGGUUCGAUAGUGAAAGAUGGCUUUGCUAUCACUUAUAGAUGGACCUGCGCCGUAUUAGCUAGUUGGUAAGGUAACGGCUUACCAAGGCAACGAUACGUAGCCGACCUGAGAGGGUGAUCGGCCACACUGGAACUGAGACACGGUCCAGACUCCUACGGGAGGCAGCAGUAGGGAAUCGUCCGCAAUGGGCGAAAGCCUGACGGAGCAACGCCGCGUGAGUGAUGAAGGUCUUCGGAUCGUAAAACUCUGUUAUUAGGGAAGAACAAACGUGUAAGUAACUGUGCACGUCUUGACGGUACCUAAUCAGAAAGCCACGGCUAACUACGUG